UUCAGAUCACUUUGUUCUUGUUUAGCCUUGAUCUCUGAUGUAUACUGUCUAUAGGGAAGGCAAGUUUCUAGUAUUCAACAUUUUUAGGUUUCACAUAUAAGUAAGAUCAGGAAGCAUUUUUCAUAAUAACAAAAAACUGGAAACAUUUCAAUGCCCAUCAACUGGUGAAUUGAUCAACAAGAUGUGGAGUAUCCAUGCAGUGAAAUACUACUCAGCAAGAAAAAGGUUGGUGUAUUUCUAAGUGUGAUUCCUGGACCACCUGCAAGAGACCCACCUUUUAAAAAUCAACUCCUGUGUUUCAAUCUGUCAAUAACAGAUUCCCGAGCCACACUGAAAUUCACAAAUCAGCUCUGCGCAACAGCUGCCAAAUGGAGCCUUUGUUCUGAGGGCCUUUUCUAAUGUCUUCACACCGAUCCUGUUUGUUUUCCUCAGCGGCAGCUCCUAACAAACCUGAAAACGUGUGGCCAUUAAGCCUCUAAAGGCAAGCUCAGUUGCCAGCUGCCAUUUACCCACAUUCGGUUCCUGGAAUGAAAAAGGAUACCUUUCUUCUGUCCUUUGGAAGGGAGCUAUUUUGGGUUAUGUGGGCAAAGGUGUCAGAAGCGCUCAGAUAACCUGGGUAUUCGUCAUAUUCUCACUAUCUGACCAUCACCCAGGCUUCAGCCCCCUCCCCCACCCCCAAGCCACUUUUGCUCUUUAAGGAUAUAGAGAUCUCACAUUUUGUCUCCUUGCCCGCACUGUCAUUCCAAUGCACCCCAGUUUCUGGAGCUGU